rnacentral:rRNA from 1 species
GACGAACGCUGGCGGCGUGCUUAACACAUGCAAGUCGAACGGAAAGGCCCUGCUUUUGUGGGGUGCUCGAGUGGCGAACGGGUGAGUAACACGUGAGUAACCUGCCCUUGACUUUGGGAUAACUUCAGGAAACUGGGGCUCAUACCGGAUAGGAGCUCCUGCUGCAUGGUGUGGGUUGGAAAGAUUCGGCGGUUGGGGAUCGACUCGCGGCUUAUCAGCUUGUUGGUGGGGUAGUGGCUUACCAAGGCUUUGACGGGUAGCCGGCCUGAGAGGGUGACCGGCCACAUUAGUACUGAGAUACGGCGCAGACUCCUACGGGAGGCAGCAGUGGGGAGUAUUGCACAGUGGGCGGAAGCCUGAUGCAGCAGCGCCGCGUGCGGGAUGACGGCCUACGGGUUGUAAACCGCUUUCGCAUGUGACGAAGAGUGAGUGACGGUAAUGGGUAAAAAAGCACCGGCUAACUACGUG